rfam:Spinacia oleracea cultivar SynViroflay scaffold18033.con0001.1, whole genome shotgun sequence.
ACUAAAGUUGUGUUCACUGCUGUAAAUAUGGACGGAAAGUUAUAUGUAGGCUUUAGGUGAGCUAUGAAUGAGUUGUGUCUCGCUCAUAAAGAAUCCUACAGACAUUU